rnacentral:rRNA from 1 species
GAUGAACGCUGGCGGCGUGCUUAACACAUGCAAGUCGAACGAAGCAUUUGCGACAGAUUUCUUCGGAUUGAAGUUGCUUAUGGCUGAGUGGCGGACGGGUGAGUAACGCGUGGGUAACCUGCCUCACACAGGGGGAUAGCAGUUGGAAACGGCUGAUAAUACCGCAUAAGCGCACAGUACCGCAUGGUACAGUGUGAAAAACUCCGGUGGUGUGAGAUGGACCCGCGUCUGAUUAGCUAGUUGGUGAGGUAACGGCUCACCAAGGCGACGAUCAGUAGCCGACCUGAGGGGGUGACCGGCCACAUUGGGACUGAGACACGGCCCAGACUCCUACGGGAGGCAGCAGUGGGGAAUAUUGCACAAUGGAGGAAACUCUGAUGCAGCGACGCCGCGUGAGUGAAGAAGUAAUUCGUUAUGUAAAGCUCUAUCAGCAGGGAAGAUAGUGACGGUACCUGACUAAGAAGCUCCGGCUAAAUACGUGCCAGCCGCCGCUGUAA